rnacentral:rRNA from 1 species
GAUGAACGCUGGCGGCGUGCCUAAUACAUGCAAGUCGAGCGAACAGACGAGGAGCUUGCUCCUCUGACGUUAGCGGCGGACGGGUGAGUAACACGUGGAUAACCUACCUAUAAGACUGGGAUAACUUCGGGAAACCGGAGCUAAUACCGGAUAAUAUAUUGAACCGCAUGGUUCAAUAGUGAAAGACGGUUUUGCUGUCACUUAUAGAUGGAUCCGCGCCGCAUUAGCUAGUUGGUAAGGUAACGGCUUACCAAGGCAACGAUGCGUAGCCGACCUGAGAGGGUGAUCGGCCACACGGGAACUGAGACACGGUCCAGACUCCUACGGGAGGCAGCAGUAGGGAAUCUUCCGCAAUGGGCGAAAGCCUGACGGAGCAACGCCGCGUGAGUGAUGAAGGUCUUCGGAUCGUAAAACUCUGUUAUUAGGGAAGAACAAAUGUGUAAGUAAAUAUGCACGUCUUGACGGUACCUAAUCAGAAAGCCACGGCUAACUACGUG